AAUUCUCAAAACCCCUUCCUUUGCCGGAAUGGAUUUUGGACUUGGAGGCCUUUUGCUGGUUUCACCUCGAAGCCAGCUCCUCCUAAAUGGAUUAGUGGGGUCUGCUUUGCCGAUCCUUGACGUGAUAAGAUGCUUCUACGUCUCGGGUUAUUGGCACUGUGCCUCUGCUUCUAACCGUCUCUUUUGACAAUGAUGGUGUUCCGGUCACCGCCGAUUCUUCGGUGGGAGGCUUGACCCACAAAACGA
rnacentral:misc_RNA from 1 species